ACUCAAAUGAAUUGACGGGGGCCCGCACAAGCGGCGGAGCGCGUUGCUUAAUUCGAAGCAAAGCGAAGAACCUUACCCAGGCUUGACAUGCGAGAAGUAGGCGCCUGAAAGGGUGGCCAACCCGUAAAGUCGGGUACUCGUGCAGGUGUUGCAUGGCUGUCGUCAGCUCGUGCCGUGAGGUGUUGGCUUAAGUGCCGCAACGAGCGCAACCCCCAUCACAUGUUGCCACCAGGUAAUGCUGAGCACUCAUGUGAGACUGCCGGGGAAACCCCGGAGGAAGGAGGGGAUGACGUCAAGUCAGCAUGGCCCUUACGCCUGGGGCUGCAAACGCGCUACAAUGCGUGGUACAACGGGCUGCGAGACCGCAAGGUGGAGCGAAUCCCAAAAAACCACGCUCAGUUCGGAUUGGGGUCUGCAACUCGACCCCAUGAAGUCGGAGUCGCUAGUAAUGGCAGAUCAGCAUGCUGCCGUGAAUGCGUUCCCGGGCCUUGUACACACCGCCCGU
rnacentral:rRNA from 1 species